rnacentral:rRNA from 1 species
CCCCGCACAAGCAGCGGAGCGUGUGGUUUAAUUCGAUGUUACAUGAAGAACCUUUACCAGGGUUUGACAUGCAAGUAUCGGCAGGCGCGAAAGCGUCGGCCACCUCGGGAGGCUUGCACAGGUGCUGCAUGGCUGUCGUCAGCUCGUGUCGUGAGAUGUUCGGUUAAGUCCGCUAACGAGCGCAACCCUCACUGUGUGUUAUAUGUGUCACACGGGACUGCCGGUCUUAAGCCGGAGGAAGGUGGGAUGACGUCAAGUCAGCAUGGCCUUUAUAUCCUGGGCUACACACACGCUACAAUGGCCAACACAAUAGGUUGCUAAGCCGCGAGGUGGAGCCAAUCCAUAAAGUUGGUCUCAGUUCAGAUUGUAGGCUGCAACCCGCCUGCAUGAAGAUGGAGUUGCUAGUAACCGCAGGUCAGCUAUACUGCGGUGAAUACGUUCCCGGGGCUU